rnacentral:rRNA from 1 species
AGUCGAGCGAACAGACGAGGAGCUUGCUCCUCUGACGUUAGCGGCGGACGGGUGAGUAACACGUGGAUAACCUACCUAUAAGACUGGGAUAACUUCGGGAAACCGGAGCUAAUACCGGAUAAUAUAUUGAACCGCAUGGUUCAAUAGUGAAAGACGGUUUUGCUGUCACUUAUAGAUGGAUCCGCGCCGCAUUAGCUAGUUGGUAAGGUAACGGCUUACCAAGGCAACGAUGCGUAGCCGACCUGAGAGGGUGAUCGGCCACACUGGAACUGAGACACGGUCCAGACUCCUACGGGAGGCAGCAGUAGGGAAUCUUCCGCAAUGGGCGAAAGCCUGACGGAGCAACGCCGCGUGAGUGAUGAAGGUCUUCGGAUCGUAAAACUCUGUUAUUAGGGAAGAACAAAUGUGUAAGUAACUAUGCACGUCUUGACGGUACCUAAUCAGAAAGCCACGGCUAACUACGUGCCAGCAGGCCGCGGUAAUACGUAGGUGGCAAGCGUUAUCCGGAAUUAUUGGGCGUAAAGCGCGCGUAGGCGGUUUUUUAAGUCUGAUGUGAAAGCCCACGGCUCAACCGUGGAGGGUCAUUGGAAACUGGAAAACUUGAGUGCAGAAGAGGAAAGUGGAAUUCCAUGUGUAGCGGUGAAAUGCGCAGAGAUAUGGAGGAACACCAGUGGCGAAGGCGACUUUCUGGUCUGUAACUGACGCUGAUGUGCGAAAGCGUGGG